GUUAACCACUUGAGCAGGUUUCAGUUUUGUAUCUGAAAGUGGGAAGCUAUCAAUCUCCCUCCCUACAUGACUCGUUCCACCGUUUGUGGAUACUUCUACCUGUAGAAAAAAAGGCUGGCAAACUUGGUGGCAUGGUGAGGACAAAGGGCAUUUUGAAAAAACCAGUGACGGAGGUCAGAGUGGGGAGCUGGUAUUAGCUGUGGGAUUCACUGCAGCGUCCUACCACAAAGGCAAAGAAAAUGAAAAUGCAGCGUGCAGUGCUGGGCUUGAUUCCCAAGUCGCAGUCUGGCUCCCGCUAUGGGUAGGAGGCUUUACACUCAGCCUGGGUCAGCACUGGAGCGUCCAGGCACUUCAGCUCGUCUGGGUAGUCGGCUGUGAGGAUCAGGAAGAGAUCAAAGAAAGUAGAAAUGUGGGUGAGGCCAGAGAAGGAGACAAUAAUCUAGGAUGGAACAUUGAAGAGGAACACUGCCCCUGGAGAGGACUCCAAAACGUGGUUGAGUUUCUGCAGAAUAUGCAAAAAUCAGUCUUCCCCCUGGUGGAACUGUGUAGCUCUUCACUCAGGAUGAGUCUUCAUGCACAAGCCUUGCAGCAUGCACCGGCCACUUACCACCGUUCUCCCAUCACUUUUCCAUCUGUCAUUACUGAACACCA
rnacentral:antisense_RNA from 1 species